UGGGGAAUCUUGCGCAAUGGGCGAAAGCCUGACGCAGCAACGCCGCGUGUGUGAUGAAGGUCUUCGGAUCGUAAAGCACUGUCGGGAGGGACGAAUAAGGCGGCGGCUAACAUCCGCAGCUGAUGACGGUACCUCCAAAGGAAGCACCGGCUAACUCUGUGCCAGCAGCCGCGGUAAUACAGAGGGUGCAAGCGUUGUUCGGAAUUAUUGGGCGUAAAGCGCGUGUAGGCGGUCCUGCAAGUUGGGUGUGAAAGCCCUCGGCUUAACCGAGGAAGUGCGCCCAAAACUGCUUGGCUUGAGUGCCGGAGAGGGUGGCGGAAUUCCCGGUGUAGAGGUGAAAUUCGUAGAUAUCGGGAGGAACACCAGCGGCGAAGGCGGCCACCUGGACGGUAACUGACGCUGAGACGCGAAAGCGUGGGGAGCAAACA
rnacentral:rRNA from 1 species